CACCAGCAACCAUUUAUCAUCCUUGUGAAGCCAGAUGUGAAGCUGAAGUUCCUUCAAAUCGAUGAGGUAAACCCCAGAAUCAUCUGCCCGUCAGAAUAUGACAUCUCUAUUCUCAAAUUCUAUCCCACCUUCAUGUCGAGAAGGCCACACUACCCCUUCUGGGAGUUGAAUUGUGAAGAAACUCGAGUUCGACAAAUCCAACACAAGAAUGUCGUUGGAUGUGCCCCCUGCCAUGUAGAUCCUAUCACCAAUGAGUAGAGGUUCUGGUUGUUGUAGCGGAUGGGGGAGUUCUGUCAUGGCUUUGGUAUGCAUGACCCAGACACCAUCUUGCAACAUAUAUACCUUCCCAAAUGUCUUCCCGCAGGUAGAUACCCAAUUACUCACAUUGAUCUCCAUUGCCAGUCAGAUGUAUGAUAAACAGCCGUCACCUCCUCUGGAAAGGAAGCGACCAAAGGUAGAUAUCUGGCCGUUACCUGUCAUGACACGUGGAGGUUGUGGGAGGGCGACCAUGCCUCUCUCAGGGAACAGAAGGUUGUGCACUUCAUCUGUGUAUUUGUGGUUCCGAAUCCGGAGAUCAAUACGCUGCCGUUCCGGCAUUCCCGAAUCGCUAUUGCAUCGUCGAUGUCCAAGCUUAACGUUGCCAUGCGGCGGAGGGCGGUGGCGAGCUCCGGUUCUUGGGUCUGGGUCAGCAUCGGAACGAAGUGUGGACGAAAAUCGGUUGUAUCAUGAAACAACACAUCUUCGUCGUACAAGCCAAGGAGUCGGGGCGGGUGGUGCUGGCGGACUCGGCGGAGGAAGGCCCGGUCGGCGGCAUGGUGGUACCAGCAUGUGCAGACGAGCGUGGCGCGGACGAGGGUGGUGGGGAAGCCGACGCGAAGGAGGAUCUCGCGGAGGAGGUCGUCGUCGUUGAGUACCUUGGAAACCACAGCCGCGGCCGCGGCCGGCGAGGGUGGGGAAUCCAUUGUCAGCCGAUCCCUUGAAUAAGGAAGAGAAAUCAAAAUCUUACACUUAUGGUAUCAUUCCCCUCCUCUGCUGCUGGAACAAGGAAAGGUAGGAAUUUAAGAAGAAAAGUUGAGCUAGGGUUCCGCGCAAGAAACGAAAUUGGGGUAAAACAAGACUUACCUGGAAUCGCGAGAGGAGAAGGCGGCUUUGUGGGGGCGCAGGCACCGACCGCCGUCAGGAGGUUCAAUUCGGAAUGCCGGUGGAAGUCCCGUCUCAAGGUGGACGCCGGUCUGGCUCGGUCCGAGCUAGCUGCAAUCUGUGCGGUGGUGGCUGCGUAGGAGAGUCAGGGUUCGUAGGAACUGAGAAGCAGCUAAUUUUGACCUAGGCAAACGGGACUGGACUGGGCUGGAGGCAUCUAUGAGCCAUGAAAGCUGAGCAUGGGCCGCCAGGGGGCCAAAAUGGCCAGCUCGCCGACCUGGACCGAGCUCAGCUCAGCUCAGCCUGAAGAUGUGAUGAGCCGUUUUUGUAGGCUCGGCUUGGUCUAAAAAAAUAAGCCUCGGGCCGAGCCCACCAUGGGACUCUCCCAUGGAAUUCAUUCACAUGACGCCUAGCCGUAUUCCAUUUCUAUCUGCCUGUUUCCAAAAAAAAUCACAGUGAACUUCAAAGAUAUUUUUCUGAGAAAAAAAAAAACCUGCGCACAGUUUGAGAUCCCAAACUAGAAUAGUUUCCAGCAUGCAAAGAAUAACAGAAAUAGCAAGGAGGAUUUCAUUACAUGCUUAGAAGCUUGUUACUUAACUGUAACCACUCUGAAAAUACUUCUCUUGCCAUCAGCACCUGCUCCUGUCUACAGUAAGGCUUCACAUUGAUUAAAGCCACACAACGGGCAAGUCAAGAUUACAGCAUCCUCCCAUUUGGUCCAAGUACACAGCCCCAGUCCCGACCGACAAGUCAACAACUGCUCUUCUUGACAAUAAGAUGCUGAAAAGCAUGGGACCAGUGAUGACAAUGACUUUGAACAGCCAAAUCAGUGACAUUUUGGGACUCGUUUGGACAGUUCAGGCGCCUAAAGCUCAUAAAUCAUGCGGAGAGACUCAAAGACAAAGACCAAGACUUCGAGAGUCUUUCGAUCCAGGCAGCUUCCGCUGUGGCGAGGCCACCUUUCUGGUUAUCACAUGGAUCCGCUCCGUAUGACCGUAUCUGCAGGCCUCCUUGAUCCGCAAGCCCAUUCCUGACUGCAACACCUACAGUUUUUGCUACCUAGCUUAAUAUUCCAAGAACUAAAUCAUCAAGUGAUUUUUCUUGCAGCAUUCUUAUUCGUGCAGGCACCUCAUCUUGGGUUCUGCCAAUUUCUUCUUCAUCGUGCUUGCAGCUGCAGCAUCGUUAAUGGCCGUGCAGGGAUCCAACUAUGGCGACUAUCCCACUGUCAACCUCCCAACACUGUUGAUCAAUAAAAAGCCUCCCUCCCAAACGGAUUGAACUACAUGGACGGUACAACUGUCCGUGACAUCGUCCUCCGUUCACCAAGGGCACGGCCUUUUUCUUUUGAUGGGUGGUCCUUUGCUGAAGGGUUCUUCUGUGCCUCCCUCUGUGAUGUCUUUCUCUUUUCUGUCUUCAUUGUAAGCACUGACAGUGGCGGCUGGUUCUACGACAUGGCAACUGGACCACAGGAUAUCUGGUUGGCCAACCGGGCUGGCCUAACCCUGUUAGGGAGAACCCCACCCUUGAGCUUACGAGGAAUGGCAACCUCAUCCUCCGUGUACCGAUGGGAUCAUGGGAAGAUGGUCUGGUCUAGUGCCACUUCAGACAAAUCCAUGAUUGGCAUGGAGAUCACGAAGCUCAGCAACCUGGUGCUAUUUGAUCAGAAGAAUUCCACUGUGCGGCAGUCAUUUCAUCAUCGACUGAUUCAUUGGCCCCCGUGCAAUCACUUCCGCAAAGUAUGAGGCUAACAGCUAUUACAUCUGCAACAAAUUCGACUCAGACUCAGAGUCAGUUGUACUAUAUCACGGCACUCCCAGAUGGAUUAUAUUAUUAUGUUGAAUCCACACCACCACAACUCUACUUUUCAUAUGCACCGGUGCAAAAUUACAAGACACGAAAUGAUCCAAUAAAGGUUACCUUCAAGAAUGGCAGCCUCAGCAUCAUUAUGCAGUCUAGUGAACCUAGAGAUAUCAUGCUGCCACCCGCACUGUCCAGCCAGCACAUGAGAUUAGAGUCCGAUGGGCACCUAAGGCUGCAUCAAUGGUCUGGUAACAUAAAACAAUGGACUUUGUCUGAUGCAAUGCAGAUCUCUCGUGAUCGUGCAUAGUGCUUACAAACCGCUGUGUGGGGACUAUGGGAUAUGCGCAAAUGGGCAGUGCACAUGUCUUUUUCGAAGUAAUACCGAUUAAUACUACGCCGGUAGACGAGCGGAAGGCAAAUCUUUGUUGCACGCCACUGAUUCCAAUUUUUUGUCAGGACAGGCAACACCAUCAUCUCUUAACUCUUAUUGAUGUUUCUUAUUUUGACGAAAGCCACACGUACCGUUGUGAAUUUAAACAGAAAUGAUUGUAAGCAAGCCUGCCAACACAAUUGUUCCUGCAGGGAAGUUGUUUUCAGGUAUGGCCAGGACGAUUCCAAUGGGGAAUGUUUCUGGGUGACAAAGGUAUUCUCCUUGCAAUCAAUACAACCAGAAGCUCUUCAUUACAACUCCACUGCUUACAUCAAGGUUCAGUAUAGAACAUCCAACUCCACUUCUGCUCCUACAAACUGACGGAACAUUAUUUUAACAAUUACACUUCCAACAAGUAUUCUUGUACUAUUACUUGUCAUUGUUGCCAUUCUUUAUCUACAAAGGAGGAAGUAUGAAGAGAAUGAUGAGGACUCUGAUUUUGAUCAAUUAUCCGUAAUGCCUGCUAGGUUUCCUUUAGAGAAGUUGAGAAUGCACUGAAGAAUUCAGUAAAAAACUUGGGGAGGGUAGAUUUGGUUCUGUUUUUUAAGGGAAAUUUGAUACAGAGAGAGUUGUGCUAAAAAUUUUGGAAGGUGCUAGACAAGAAAAGAAAAAAAUUCUUGGCAAAGGUUGAAACUAUAGGAAGCAUUGAACAUAUAAAUCUUGUCAAUCUUACUGGCUUCUGUGCAGAGAAAUCUCAGCGGCUUCUGGUAUAUGAAUGUAUGUCUAGAGGGUCACUUGAUAGGUAGAUCUAUAACCGCCAUAACAAUGCCCCUCUUGACUGGUCCACUCAGCGUAGGAUCAUUCUAGAUAUUGCCAAGGUUCUAUCUUCAUGAGGAUUGCAGAUGAAAAAUUGCUCAUCUGGACAUUAAGCUACAAAAUAUUCUUUUAGAUGAGAACUUCAAUGCCGAAGUUGCGGAUUUUGGACUACCUAAGUUAAUACACAUGUAUCAAAGUAAGGCAGUGCGAUGAUGAGAGGAACACCAGGGGUAUCUGGCACCUGAAUGGUUAACGUCGCAAAUCAAUGAAAAAGUUGCCGUGUGCAGCUUUGGAGUGGUUAUCUUGGAAAUAAUAAGUGGAAGGAAAAAGCAUUGACCGUUCUCAGCCUAAGGAGAACCUUCAGCUCAUUAAUUUAUUACGGGAAAAGGCUCAACACAAUCAAUGGAUUGAUCUGAUCGAUACGAAAAGUGAUGAUAUGGUCUCACACGAGGAGGACGUGAUUCAAAUUAUGAAGCUUGCAAUCUGGUGCUUGCAGAAUAAUAGCAUUCAUAGGCCUUCCAUGGCAACAGUGAUCAAGAUUUUGGAAGGUACGGUAAGCGUUGAAGUUUGCAUAGUUCAAAGUUUUCUCAAUGCAAAUAAAAUGAUGUCUGUUCAAGAUAAUCCAUGCCCAUAUUCAGUUCCAAGUCAAGCAUCUAUCUUAUCUGGCCCACGGUGAAAAGGGUGGCUAAUGCAGAAAAGAAAUUCCAACAUAUAGAGUUUGACUUUUACAACUAUUUUGUAUCCUACCCCUUACUAUUUGUGCAUGGGACGCAUGUUUUGAAUUGAGAAAUUCAGGCCAGUAUAUUGAGCGAAGUUGUACCUCUCACUAUGAGGUAGGUUUUUAAUGGAAUGGAAGGUGUGCAGUAUAAGUAAAGUCUGUCAGUUGAUUUUCUAGGGUAUUGUGGACAUAUUUACCCAAAAACUAGUUUUUGUAAGGGUAGUUUUGACGGUAACGACUUUUGAUCCUGCCACCGCUGCUAAUCCACUGGUCGUCCACCGCCGACCAAUGCCAAAGCCACCAGCCAUUUGCACAAUCGUAUGGUCCAAUCCGUGAUCUUAUUCGCUAUCUAGUGCCCAUGUGGGCUGCUAUUUGUCAGUUCAUAAUAGUGCAUCACCAUCUGAUUCGGUUCCUCAGCAUAAGUGUUGCACUUGCUUGAGAUGGGCACUAAUUGCCCGUUCCUAAUAGUCUAUCCCGGAACUUUAGUGCAAAGAACGUAGAGCUCAGCAAUUGACAUGCAAAAUCUCGAUAAUUUAUUUGCCAUUGAUGAUUGGCUACAAAGAUGUGUGGAUGAAACGAAUACAAGUUAUUUUGAUUAAGUUUUGUAUGUCUUUGAAAUAUUUUUGUGAAUGUUAAUGUGUGAUACAAUCAUACAAAUGGAAAUUAGUAUCUGAAAGAUUUUGGUAUGACAUCUUUCCAGAUAUACUUUUAUUCUGAAAUUUCACUAAUACUCUUCAGAAAAUCAAUUGAAAAAUACUAUUCUCUAUAAACUAACCCUUACCCGCAUUAAAAAAAAUAAACAUUAUUUUCCACUUUUUAGCAUCAAUGGAAAUACAGACCAGUUAAAAACAUGUGAUAGAAAAUAUUCAGGAAAAAACAUGAACUUUGACCACCUAAUUUACAUAUGAUUUAUCUGGAUAGUUGUAGAAUAACUAUUUCAGAUUGUAGAGUAUACUUGGAACUGGAUAAGAGAACAAAUCUUCGGAAAAUUACAAAUGACGCUAGCAGUCUUCACCUCAACUAUAUGAAUCAAAUAUGUGGCAUAAUUAGGCUGCUGCAUCAGGAGUCAAUUUUAGAAUAAAGAGAGGUUAACCUGAAUAUUAACAGCGGUCUACUACCCGAGAAUAUAGUACCGACAGCCCAAUGCAAAGCCUGCACGGUUAAGGAAGCAUCCUUGCAAAGUUGCAAUGAUUUUAUUGCAAAGUCAGUUGGAACACCAUGGAGUCAAUCCAGGCGGAAGCAAUCUGAUUUCUAAGCCUAAGAAUAACUGGGAUGGAGCACAGUCGAUCUACGAUUUGAGAAAGAAAAAAAUUGGGGUUUACAAGCCCUAGUUAGGUACGCACCUGCAGCACAACAGGGGAUCUGGAGCGACCGCAGCCUUUGAUGCAGCGGAAUCUCCAGCGGCGAUGGGGGUCGAGUGACGCGAUUCAAUCAGGCGGCGGGCGGCCGAUGGCAGGACGGAAGGGCGGCGGCGAGAGCUGGAGAGGACAGAGCAGGGGGGAUAAUAUGAUUUCAUAUGAUUCGCCACUUGCUAGCUCCGUCCGUUUUUAAAUAAAGUUUUAGUUUCGUCCUAGACAGCCUAAAGUUUGAAUAAGUUUACAGAAAAAAUGUAUUCCGUAUCUAACACGUAGAAUAUCAAAUGAGUACACUAUGAAAAUAUAUAUCAUGACAGAUUUAAUAGAACUAAUUUAAAAGCGUAGAUGUUGUAGAUGUUUAGGUAAAUUUGGUCAAAGUUUAGUAAGUUACGACGAAGGUAGAACUGAAGGAAACAAAUCAGGCUCGGAUCAAUACCAAAGUUGAAUUUCAAAAUGCCGUUGGAGGGCACAAAUUAGAAAAGUGGUUGUGUUACAUGAGGCUGUGCAUAAACUCCAGAGAACAAAUCAGGUUCAGAUCAAUACUAAAGUUGGAUUUCGUCCGAGGGCACAUUUUAGAAGUGGUUACAUGAGUUUGGUAAUCUGCUAAACUGCCUUGUGAGGCAAUUAUUUUAUAGAUAUUAUUUAGGGGUUUUCAUCUCAUCAGGGCAUUGCCAUAUUUCAGGAUUCUCAUCUCACCUGGGCAUCAACAUAUAGUUAACUUUGAUCUAAUGAUUAGAUAAUUGAAAUCCUAUUUGCAGCCAACUAGACACAUGCUGCGAUGCCGAAGCAAGCAAACAGUACAGUAUCAGACUGCAAAACAAGCAGAGCAGACCACACGACCCAAGACCAUGGAAGGAAGAUCUCGAUUAGAACGUAACAGAUUCUAAUCCAGCACAGACAGCAAGGGUCUUAUCAUAACAUCAUCUGCUCCAGUCACAUAACAGUAACAUAGCCUAAUCUUAAUCCAGUACAAAUCAUAGCGUCUCCUAAUCCAGUUCCAUACCAUAUCCUGCUCCGCCGCUUACUGCUACUCAACAAACAAGAAAAUUUCGAUUCUAGACUCGCAAUUUAAAAAGUUUUGGCUACCAGGUAGAAGCAAAUGCACCUCACUGAUCUUCCUUGUUGGUGCCCAUCAGCACAUGUCACUGAUAGAUAAUCCAAGAUCCUCCGGCCUGCUAUCCUUGUUUAAACGGCAUUUCUGUUUUUCAAGCAAAACACGACAAGGAUUAGGAUGAAGAUAAGUAAGCAUCGGCAUGUCAAAUGAACUAAUAAGACAAGUGGCUACUGCAAUGGCUGUCAACUACGAUGUGGCACUGGAAGGCCAAAACAAGAUGCACAGAGAUUCUAUUUGUUUAAACUACAUAACUGCAUAACAUAAAGAGACCCACGGAUGCGAUUUUUGCCAGAGAUCUAAGCCUCCAGAAGUGGUUGCUCGAGGCGUUUGUUCCGGAGGUUGUCCAUGUGGUGGAUGACCAGCAACCACAAGGCUAUUUUCCUAGCAUCAUGCUUGGUAGGCUUUCUUGUACCGGUGUUAGAGCUGGGUUUGCCCUGCUCUAGGACUUGCCUGAACAGAGGAUGGUGAUGACCCCAUCUGGGCAAUAGCCACAACAUGGCUACAGUGCCUGUGGAACAAACCAAGGUCACAUACAUGCAUCAUUAUCCAAAAGAACUCCGUAUAUGCAUGGAUUACAAAAGGUGAAUCUGCAAUAGUGGCUAGCACACAAAAAAGUAUAUGCACUCUAAGCAGGACUUAAGAGAUACCUGUUUCUCCAAGCACCGGUCUAUGCCGUAUCUGUUGAUUAGACGUGUGGGAAGGUUAGGAUGGUCAGCCACUGCACGCCUGAACUCAGUCUCUGCAAACUUCACCUCCCCAGCAUUGGCUCCAUGACACCAAAUAUCAGCCGUGACUUGCUGGAUCGAAGGGAGGUGACUCAUGCUCAGUUCGAAGCCAUAGCUGAAGAUUUGACGUGGCAGGAAACUGAAAUGAAGGGAUCGAACCGUUGGCAUAGUCCCUUGUGGGAACAUGCAUGGAAAUGUCUGAAAAUCCAAGAAAGUGCAAUCUGUCACACACGGAAAUGCACCAUCAGCUGUGAACACAAACCCUCUUUCCAGCUGUGUCAGCUCUUCCAUGGAUCUACGACUACGAGUAUGCAGGUAAAGAAAACGAAGUACAGGCAGCAUCCCAAGGUUCACAUUGUCAUCUCCUCAUACUUGAUCCACACUUAUAUAUACAUAGGAGAGGAACGGAAGUGAUGCACUCGGCAUAGUAGAGAACAAAUCUUCAUCAAAAUGAUGGAGUGUUAGACGUGUUACCCUUCUUACUGGAAUGAAAUUGGUGAAGCCCAAACCAGCAAACUCUACACUUUGCAAUUUGUGCAUGUUACUUAUGGACUCCGCCAAAGCUUUAUCCUGGUUCUCAUCCAUUUUGCAGUAAAAACUAAUCUUAAGGAACCUCAACUCUGUCAGACUGCCCAACUCUUUUAAUUCAUCGCCAGAAAAUUGUCCACAUCGAGAGUACCCAACUCUUGUAGGGAGAUCAGGUUCCCUAAGCUGACUGCCGGCAACUUUAUCUCACUAUCGAUACAUAGCCGCAUCAACUUUCUGGUUAGUACUUGGAAACCAUCAAUGCAUACCUUGACAGAGUAAACAGAUUACUUUUCCUGACUAGAGGGGAGCAACUGUAACGACAAUGACUACAUGAUGGACAAAUCCUGAGACGAAAGGGGAUCGAUGAUGACCCAUCUGUCGCACAUUCACACUUGACGACUUGUAAUUUUAUAUUGCAUAUUUUCUCCGACAAAAUGACUUUGUCUUGUAAGAUCAGUAGUAUCGAGUUAAUCAGCAGUAUUUGUCUCAUGGGAUUAGUAUUGCGUGAAAUUCCCUCUUGCGCUAAUCCAUCAGGCAUCAGCAUGAGUAGGGUUCGAACAUACCUUCAAGUCGACGCAGGCGAUGGAACACAAAGCCCGGGAUCGAGGAGGCGGGCGACUUCUCCUCCGCGCCGGGAGCACGACCCAUGGAGGAGCGAGUGGGGUGGCCAGCGGUUGGAGAGAUCGCCGGCGGCGGCGGCAUAGUAGUCUUUUUUGUUUUUGAGAGGUCUGUUUGGUUUGUUGGGCUGAGCUCAUACCUGAAUACUAUCAGAGCCCACCUUUCCCUUCCAUUCUCCGCACCGGGCCAAACUGACAAACUCUAAGCGGCCCACCUUUCCCUUCCAUUCUCCGCACCGGGCCAAGCUCUAAGCGGCCCACCUUCUCAUUUGUCCUUUCCUUUCCUUUUCAUUCCGCACCAGCCUGGCCCAGCAUCUGCGACGCUACUCCCCUGCCAGUAAUAUUUUUUCCAUCGUCUCUCCUUUACAUAUUUUCCACGGCCCAAAUUUGCCGCGAGCUGGCCAUUGCCCAGCCGGCUCCGCUGGCAUGUAGGCCCCCGUUUUCGACCUCAUGGCCCUUGACCAAUCUGAAAAUUCCAAAAAUGAGUAAAUUAAAAAAAAACCACUGCAUUGUUGGCUAGUUUUUCAAUUUGGUACCAGUUUACGUUUUAGUUGCUAAAAACUACUUAAUUACUCUAAUCAUUCGGUUGCUAGCGAAUAACCCCGAAUCUGACUAGCCGGGUCCGCCGGUUAGGCCGACGUGGCGUGCCAGACUGCCAGCGUGGCAACUAACCUUUCUUGACGUGGCAUGCCGACGUCUAGAGCGCGUCCGCCGCCUCCCGCCGCUCCUCCGAGCGCCGCACUCAGAGCAGGGAGGAUGGCCGCCGGCGGCAUGCGUGCGUGUCCUGGACGCAUCACCACUUCUGGUGCUUACCAUCUGCUCGCCCAAGCUGAAAGCAGAAGCUCUUCUCGUCCUCAGAUUUCUCGUCCUCAGAUAGCUGCGCGGGACGGUGCUUGACGCCGACACGCGGCUGCAGCGAGAGGUUGCAACCCGAACAACCAACAGCCAGCAACCCAAUUCGACUAAGAAAAUAAAUUCAGUGUACUACAAGAUUGGGAAUCGAUUCCGCAGCCAAAACCAAAACCAAUUCGUUGAAUAAAAUUGAACUACGAAAUCGAGACGCAGAUCCGGGGUGGCUCACGGAUUCGCUUUCCUCCGCGACCAAACAGGCCCUUUGCCUCGGCCGCCUUCCAUCGUCGGUGGCGACGCCGUCGCUUUCCUCCGCGACCCAUUAUCCAUGCCACCGCAACCACCACAUCACCGCGCACCCAGAUCCGCAAGAUGCACCUCCUCAUGUUCCUUGUUCUGCCCGGAACGCGAACGGCAUGCCUGACGUCCAGAGCGCGUCCGCGCGCCGCCGCCUUGCGCCACCGCGGCUAGCGACCUCGCCGAGCCACAUCAAUGUGUCCCCGAGCUCCGCCUUGACGUAGUGAAGCUCUCCAUCGGAGGAAUCGACGCCAUCUUCAACGAAUUGCCGGCGCCGCGUUCAUCUUCCCCAACGACGGCCGAGCACCGCCGCCGCUCGAUCUCCUCGUCCGGCGAGUCUGGGAAACGAACGCCAACUCCCUCGGCUCCGCGUCCAGGUUCUGAAUCUUCUAGUGCUCCUCAUGGUCCCUCUAGAGCCUCGAGCCGCCCCCGCCUCGGUGCCCUAUUCCAGCCGCCGUCGAGGGCCAUGCUCCAGUGCUCCUGUGGCGGCGACGAGGCUGGUUGGUGUCAUUCGGAUGUAAACUCACCCAGAGAACUCAUGAAUGGUCUCAUAAAAAUAACAGCUAUUACUUCAGGGCGGCACCACCUUUUCUCACUUGAUAAAUACUCACACUUCCCUCUCAGAAGGCAGCAUCUCUGCAGUACGCAGAGGAGAAGAGUUUCCGGGCAGCGUGGACUUGGUUGGAAGACAAUAUGCAAUUAGGUGUAGAUGGGAGGCAAUGGGUGUAUGUGAAACACGCAAAAGGUACUGAAUUACUCUUCGAGAACGCCUCCGUAAUUCCGUAUGUCAGCAGCAAUUAGGUGUAGGGAUGGGAAGCAUUGGAAAAGGGUAAAAAAGAAAUUGCAAAGCAGAUUGGGGUGUUGGCAGGGCAAGAUCAUCUCUAGUUGGGGGAGAACAGUAAUGAUUAAUUCCAGCCUUAGUAGUAUCUCUCGAUGUAUGAUGUCUUUCUAUGAGCUCACAGCUGGUGUCAGGAAGAAAAUGGACUUUUACAGGGCUAAAAAGCAUUGGCGGGAGGAGGGUAUCUUUAUGUAAAAGAAUUGUUGGGAAUGAGGAAAGGACUAGAUUUUUGGAGGAAAGGGAGUUAGUUGGUCACAUGAGGUGAGCAACAUGUACAAGCAGGUGAUACACAUUCACUUCACUGGAGCAGUAAAGUUGCAUUCAUUGAAUCAGCUACUACACUGCUUGAGAUAUGUUCCAAAGCAAGCAAGGAACCGUGAACCUGAGCAUGCAAUCCAUAAUCGAAUUCAGUGCAUCACCAAAGUUCUUAUUUCCCCAUAGUUGCAAGCCCACAAGAUAGAACAAGCUUGCCCGGUGAUGGAGAUCGACUUCGCUCGGUCUCCAUGGAAAUUUUGGAUCGGGAUGCUUCAGGACAACAAUUAAGAGGUGGAGACUGGAGAGCGUGCAAGUAAGUCUGUAUCGGAAACAUACUUCCAUAUCCGUUGAUCGAUGAGGGGGUGGCAUAUCGACAUUUCUCUCAAAACCAUCCCCUCGAUUCAGAGUGUGCAGUCGAGGGCUUAAUUAUAUAGAACUUCUAGUUCAUGGCAAUGGCAAAAUGCAAACCGGUCAUUUCCUUUGUAAAUUGAUCAUGCAGUGUCAUCUUGGAUUUAUUUAUUUUGUCAUGAAUGUCAUCUUGGAUUGAAGUUGAUGUUCCUAUAAUAUUGUUUGGACAUCAUGCUGACAUUUCCAUAACAGAAUGUGAUACUAUGUUGCUUGCUUAUCUUAACAUCAUCCUCCUUGUUCGACUCGUGCUGUUUUUUGAUGACCAAGACAAGGACUUGAUACCAAGAAUUAAGCUGUUAACAAGGAUGCUUGCUGGUAACUUGGAUGGAGAGGAACCAUCUGGGAUUAAUUGCUCAGUUACUCAGGUCACAGACCACCAAAAGUUGGGGAUUCAACACGUAAAAACACUGAUCAAAGAUAAAUGAAGACAGCAGCAAAAGUCCGACCACGAAAUAAAAACCUUCAGGCAAACAGCUUUCAUUGAUCAAAGCUAAAGGAUAUGAUCAAAGCCAGUAGAGAUUGAUUCAUUGAUCUCACUAGCACUGACACGCACCACCAACUGAGUCAAAGGAUAUUCUGACUUCAGAGAGAUUAUUUUUAGCGGAAGCAGCAGCAGCAAACAAGUCUGAUACAAGGAGUCGGACAGCAUGGAACGAAGACGUCGAGCAGAACAUAAGAUAUCUUCAAGUACAAACAGCAAAGGUAGCCUUAUCCUAAUCAUCUGCUCCAGUUUACCUAACACAGUCUAUCCAAAUACAGUACAAAACAUACAAACUAUUAGUUUAGACUGCCAAUUUAAGAUGUUUUGGCUAUCAGAAAGGAAGACAACAUCCAAGAUCCUCCUUCAACCCUUGUUCUUCAAGCGGCACUUCUGUUUUAAGCAAAGUACGGCAGAGAUUAGGAUGAAAGUAACUAAGAACAGAAUAUCAAAUGAACUAGUAAGACAACCGGCUACUACAAUGGCUAUCAACUAUUAUGUGGCAAUCAAAGGCCAAAAAUGCAAUGUAUUUGUUUCAGCAAAAUGGAUAAAAAGCCUCGAUAUGCUAAACCACUUGUCAAAUAGAACAAACAACUGCUCGCAUAAGGUUAAAACGUCACCCAGGAAACUUAUUGUUAGAUCAAUUAUACACUUGUCAUAUAGGAGGGAAAAUAGCAUCAAAAUAUACCCAAAUCGGAGAAGAUGCAUGAAGCCAAGUGUGGCAGUGAGAAAUAUAAGAUUGAAAUCUGUGUGCAAAAUGGCAUGCUUCAGCAUACAGAAGCAUAAAAGUUGGUUCCAUUAUACAACAACAUUCUGAGAAUAACAAGUUAAUGAUCUGAGACAGGAUAGUUUGUGGUAAAGAAUUCAAACGCAGUCCGAGUUCAUAUAAUGCAACAUAUCUGACCAUAGGAGAAACAAAGAUGCAAGAGAUAAACUCCUAUACUUCCAAUUGUUAAUCACUAAGUCUGUAAUUCUUUCUUAUGUAUAUCUACAUUAUCCUUCUCCACUCAUUGACCAAUGACCACACACCAUGAGCAGGGGAUUGAUCAAAACUAAUUGAUCACAACAGUGUACUGAUGAAAAAAGAAAUGUCAACCACUCAUAAGCAUACAGCACAUGCCAAAGCAAAGAACAUACAAUAGGAGAUUAAAACAGUUCACAUUUCAUUUGCAGAACAUAAUAAUCUAGAAACGAGCAGGAAUAACCCAAAGGCCAAAUACACACCUUGUGGAAUCAUCCUUGAGCGCUGGGAAUGCGGGAGGCCAAAUCAUCAUGAAAGGAUGUACCAAACCAUCAUGGUGUUCCUUACUUGCCAUCUCAUACACUUUACGCAGCACCCUGUGCCUAAUAUCCAAGUAGAGUGUCCAUCGACCCAUCGGCAAGAACAGAAACUCAGCAUUGUCCCCCACCUGGCUUAUCCGCACAGCAUCAGUAUGCUCAUCCUCAACCAUGCCAUCAGACAUCCCCAAAGCAGCACACAUCUCACGCAAACAUAUGGUAUCCACCAGCAACAAUUUAUGAUCAUUGUGAAGCCAGAUGUGAAGCUGAAGUUCCUUCAUAUCGAUGAGGUAAACCCCAGAAUCAUCUGCCCGUGAGAAUACGACAUCUCUAUUCUCAAAUUCUGUCCCACCUUCAUGUCGAGAAGGCCACACUACCCCUUCUGGGAGUUGAAUUGUGAAGAAACUCGAGUUCGCCAAAUCCAACACAAGAAUGUCGUUGGAGG
rnacentral:lncRNA from 1 species